rnacentral:rRNA from 1 species
CCCAGACUCCUACGGGAGGCAGCAGUGGGGGAUAUUGCACAAUGGGGGGAACCCUGGUGCAGCGACGCCGCGUGGGUGAAGGAGCGUUUCGGCGCGUAAAGCCCUAUCGGCAGGGAAGAAGGAGGACGGUACCUGACUAAGAAGCCCCGGCUAACUACGUGCCAGCAGCCGCGGUAAUACGUAGGGGGCAAGCGUUAUCCGGAUUUACUGGGUGUAAAGGGGGCGCAGACGGCAGCGCAAGCCAGGAGUGAAAGCCCGGGGCCCAACCCCGGGACUGCUCUUGGAACUGCGCGGCUGGAGUGCAGGAGGGGCAGGCGGAAUUCCUGGUGUAGCGGUGAAAUGCGUAGAUAUCAGGAGGAACACCGGUGGCGAAGGCGGCCUGCUGGACUGCGACUGACGUUGAGGCCCGAAAGCGUGGGGAGCAAACAGGAUUAGAUACCCUGGUA